GUCCUUAGUUACCAGCACGUUAUGGUGGGCACUCUAAGGAGACUGCCGGUGACAACCGAGGAAGGUGGGGAUGACGUCAAGUCAUCAUGGCCCUUACGGCCUGGGCUACACACGUGCUACAAUGGUCGGUCAAAGGGUUGCCAAGCCGCGAGGUGGAGCUAAUCCCAUAAAACCGAUCGUAGUCCGGAUCGCAGUCUGCAACUCGACUGCGUGAAGUCGGAAUCGCUAGUAAUCGUGAAUCAGAAUGUCACGGUGAAUACGUUCCCGGGCCUU
rnacentral:rRNA from 1 species